rnacentral:misc_RNA from 1 species
GUUUUCAUUAUAUUUUCAAUUACGCAAACAAGAUGUUUAAUACUUGUCUAUAUAUGGGUACAAAGACAUGAUGGACUAACGAUAUGAAAAAAUAAAAAGAAGGAAAUUGUAAUGAGCAUAUCUGGAAAUAUAGUCAGUACUAAUGAAUGGCCUCGACCUUAACUCUUGAAUGUGACCGGCAGAAUUCCAGGAUUUUAUUCGUAUACAGGUUUGAAGUUUUUGUAGGCUAUUACUGCAUAGAAAGGGUCUGAUCCAGACAAAAAUCCUAGCAAACCCAUGAACCAUUUAAAGGCUGAAUUAUCCUCCUGAGCGCCACCAGAAGCAGGCAGUUUCCGAACAAUCUCUGGUUGAGUGAAUCCUUCCACAGACUGGAAGUAUUGCACGACUAGCUGAACCCGACUGUAUCCAGUCCCUUCUCUCCAUGCUCCAAUGGCUUUCUCAUAGAACAUUCGAUUGCUAAAGCUCACAAUGAACACCCCUCCAGGCCUUAGCACUCGAAACACCUCUGCAAAUACCUGCAAUGGAAUUAGUCCAUUUAGGCAUCUCCAAUUUUAUAUAUAUGGCUCCCAACAAAACUAACCUUCUCUGGCUGUUGAAGAUACUGCACACUAACAGUGCAUAUCACUGCAUCAAAACUGGUACUCGCAAAUUCCAGCUUCUGGUCCCGAUUGAGAUCCUUCACAAUAAAGUAAUCCAGCCUUGGGUUCUUGGCAAGUUCUUGUGCGUUAAGCCCAUGUCCCACUACUCUUUUGUAUGCAACUUCUUUAGGCAGAUGACUAACCCAAGAGCUCAUGAGAUCAAGAAUCUCUGAACCAGGUCUCAACCUCUCUCUAUAGAGGUUGGUCAAUGUGGAAAUAAAGCCAUCAUCAACAUGGGUCACAAACCGUGGAUAGGCAUAGAAUUCUGUGUCAGGGUAUGUGUUGAGUUUGGUUCUGCCUUCCUGGGUAAGAACAAGUCGCUUAAUUUUGCCUGCAGUGGAUUCUUGAGUUUCUCUGUUAUCAUUUAAAGAAUUGGAAAUUUUUGCAGGAAGAAAUUUGGUUUGGAAUAGAAAAGAGGAUGAGGUCUGCAGGGCGUUUGCAGCAGGUGGUAAGGCUAAGGCCAGCAUGGAUUUGAAGUGAUCAAGUUCUUUAGAUUCUGUGUCGGAGAAUGGAUGGAUGAUAAGUUGAUAACUUCAUUUGCUGGGUCUGGUUCAUCCUUUCAUGGGCCCAAGAUGAA